GACGAACGCUGGCGGCGUGCUUAACACAUGCAAGUCGAGCGGUAAGGCCCUUUCGGGGGUACGACGAGCGGCGAACGGGUGAGUAACACGUGGGUGACCUGCCCUCAGCUCUGGGAUAAGCCUGGGAAACUGGGUCUAAUACUGGAUAUGACUCCACGGUGCAUGUCGUGGGGUGGAAAGCCUUGUGCGGCUGAGGAUGGGCCCGCGGCCUAUCAGCUUGUUGGUGGGGGAUGGCCUACCAAGGCGACGACGGGUAGCCGGCCUGAGAGGGCGACCGGCCACACUGGGACUGAGACACGGCCCAGACUCCUACGGGAGGCAGCAGUGGGGAAUCUUGCGCAAUGGGCGAAAGCCUGACGCAGCGACGCCGCGUGAGGGAUGACGGCCUGGUGUAACU
rnacentral:rRNA from 1 species